rnacentral:rRNA from 1 species
AUAUCAAUAAGCGGAGGAAAAGAAACCAACAGGGAUUGCCUCAGUAACGGCGAGUGAAGCGGCAAAAGCUCAAAUUUGAAAUCCUUCGGGAGUUGUAAUUUGAAGGUGAAGGGACCGCGGUAGAUGAUGAUUAAAGUCCCUUGGAACAGGGCGCCUUAGAGGGUGAGAGCCCCGUACAGUCAUCCAUCUUCCUCUUAUGUUCUUUCUCCAACGAGUCGAGUUGUUUGGGAAUGCAGCUCAAAGUGGGUGGUAAAUUCCAUCUAAAGCUAAAUACCGGCGAGAGACCGAUAGCGAACAAGUACCGUGAGGGAAAGAUGAAAAGCACUUUGAAAAGAGAGUGAAACAGUACGUGAAAUUGUUGAAAGGGAAGGGCUUGCAAGCAGACACAACCCUCGUGGUUGGGCCAGCAUCGGUUGCUAGGGGUGGAUAAGGCGGCGGGAAUGUAGCUUCCUCGGAAGUAUUAUAUCCCGCUGAGAUACACCCACCGGCGACCGAGGCCUGCGAUUCUAAAUCAAGGAUGCUGGCGUAAUGGUUGCAAGCCGC